AGAGUUUGAUCAUGGCUCAGGACGAACGCUGGCGGCGUGCUUAACACAUGCAAGUCGAGCGAGGCCCUUCCUUCGGGAAGGUGCCCUAGCGGCGAACGGGUGAGUAACACGUGGGCAACCUGCCCCUAGCACUGGGAUAAGCCGAAGAAAUUCGGUCUAAUACCGGAUAUGACCUCCGAGGGCAUCCUCGGAGGUGUAAA
rnacentral:rRNA from 1 species